rnacentral:rRNA from 1 species
ACGCUGGCGGCAGGCUUAACACAUGCAAGUCGAGCGGUAACAGAGAUAGCUUGCUAUCUGCUGACGAGCGGCGGACGGGUGAGUAAUGCUUGGGAAUAUGCCAUAUGGUGGGGGACAACAGUUGGAAACGACUGCUAAUACCGCAUAACGUCUACGGACCAAAGAGGGGGACCUUCGGGCCUCUUGCCAUUUGAUUAGCCCAAGUGAGAUUAGCUAGUUGGUAAGGUAAUGGCUUACCAAGGCGACGAUCUCUAGCUGGUUUGAGAGGAUGAUCAGCCACACUGGGACUGAGACACGGCCCAGACUCCUACGGGAGGCAGCAGUGGGGAAUAUUGCACAAUGGGCGAAAGCCUGAUGCAGCCAUGCCGCGUGUGUGAAGAAGGCCUUCGGGUUGUAAAGCACUUUCAGUUGUGAGGAAAGGGGUGUAGUUAAUAACUGCAUCCUGUGACGUUAGCAACAGAAGAAGCACCGGCUAACUCCGUGCCAGCAGCCGCGGUA